rnacentral:rRNA from 1 species
CGCCUUAUACUCCUACGGGAGGCAGCAGUGGGGAAUUUUGGACAAUGGGCGCAAGCCUGAUCCAGCCAUGCCGCGUGCAGGAUGAAGGCCUUCGGGUUGUAAACUGCUUUUGUACGGAACGAAAAGACUUCUUCUAAUAAAGGGGGUCCAUGACGGUACCGUAAGAAUAAGCACCGGCUAACUACGUGCCAGCAGCCGCGGUAAUACGUAGGGUGCGAGCGUUUAUCGGAAUUACUGGGCGUAAAGCGUGCGCAGGCGGUUAUAUAAGACAGAUGUGAAAUCCCCGGGCUCAACCUGGGAACUGCAUUUGUGACUGUAUAGCUAGAGUACGGCAGAGGGGGAUGGAAUUCCGCGUGUAGCAGUGAAAUGCGUAGAUAUGCGGAGGAACACCGAUGGCGAAGGCAAUCCCCUGGGCCUGUACUGACGCUCAUGCACGAAAGCGUGGGGAGCAAACAGGAUUAGAUACCCCGGUAGUCCACGUACCA